AGCAGCCGCGGUAAUUCCAGCUCCAAUAGCGUAUAUUAAAGUUGUUGCAGUUAAAAAGCUCGUAGUUGAAUUUCGGAAUAAGCAGGUCGGUCGUGCCACAGGUAUGUACUGGUCUUGCUGAUUCCUCCUUCCUGAUGAACCGUAAUGCCAUUAAUUUGGUGUUGCGGGGAAUUUGGACUGUUACUUUGAAAAAAU
rnacentral:rRNA from 1 species